GUUUCUGCAGGGCCUAUGACCUGGUGCACAACUUUAGACACCAUCAUCCUGGAGCAGCACUGCACCCUCACUAGCCAGAGUGUUGACAUCCUCAAGGCCAGGGCCACAUUCAAGACUUUGGACUUCAUUGAUGCACUUGUGCUGAGCAAGCUUAUCUGAUCUCCUGGGAUCUCUACUAGGAUGCUGGCAGCCCAGCCAGCUGGUCUGGCCCUGGACGUGCCUUCAGGUGCUGGUUAUGCUUUAUGACCUGUGUUGUGAUCCUGGUCAGAGUAAAACAUUCCAUGGGAACUCGGGCUGUGAGAAACAUCCUAACCACCUGACUGCAGAAACAUCCUUAUCACAUCCUGCUGGGCAAGGGCCCAACAGCCUGACUUCAGGAACAUCCUUAUCAUCUUCUACUGAGCAGCAAGCUAUACUGUCCAGAGCCCUCCCUCCCAGCCCCAUGAUUACCCCAGCCUAGUCUCAUUCUGUCACCCAGGCUGGAGUACAAUGGCACCAUCUCAGCUCACUGCAAGCUCCGCCUCCCGGGUUCACGCCAUUCUCCUCCUGCCUCAGCCUCCGGAGUAGCUGGGACUACAGGCACCCACAACCAUGCUCGGCUAAUUUUUUGUAUUUUUAGUAGAGAUGGGAUUUCACCGUAUUAGCCAGGAUGGUCUUGAUCUCCUGACCUCAUGAUCCGCCUGCCUCGGCCUCCCUAAGUGCUGGGAUUACAGGCAUCAGCCACUGCGCCCGGCCGAUAUCAUCUUUCUAGAGCCAACGACAAGAGCAGCACUUAUUUCCUGUACCAUGAAUUUGUGGGAUGAUUCAGACCAAAUUCCUCAGCCCUCUUCAGGACAUUUUGGCUAACUGAGGUCUUCUUGUCAUGUUGGAGAAAGGGAGCAAGAUGGGGAUUCUGCACAACUCAAGCCCCAACAUGUGGGGACAGACUCAAGUAGAUCACCACUGAGGCUUUUUGUGGUAAUGUGGAUACUGGGAAGCCUGAGGAAGGCUGUGGCCACAAACAGGCUCAUUGAAUUUACCCCUUGAAAUCUGCACAGAACUUGGACAGCUCACUCCCCGAUGAGCCACCACAUUUAUACCUGCAGCUAUGACCUUUCUCUUGAGCCUCAGACCCUUAUAUCCUCCUGAGCACUGGUUAUUUCUACUUUGAUAUUUAAAAGGCCCCUGAAAACUAACUCCUCUGAAACUGUUCAUGUGGACAAUUGACGUGUCAGAACCAAACCUUAGACUUCUCCAAACUUACUGUCCCUCAGUACCCCUUUGCUGUGAAAGCAACAUCAUCCUGACAGGUGUUCAGAAUACAGCUUUGUGGUAUUUCU
ensembl:lncRNA CYP4F26P cytochrome P450 family 4 subfamily F member 26, pseudogene